GAAUCAAUGAUCGGCUCUAUUAGAGUUGAUCUAGCAUGUUUGAAUUACGUAGAAAAUAAAUUUUGCCAUUUUUCGAUAUCGUUCACCUAAUAAUCGAAAUGACUCAAAAUCAAUGGUUGAAAAUAAAAUUCUCACAAAAAAUUAUAAUGCAGUACUAAAAUUUUUGAUCAGAGAUAGUGAUCUUGUUGUAGAUAAUAUAAAAAAUUUUCUAUCAAAAUUUUAUCCGAUUUUAAUAUUUCUGCACUAUUAAACUUGCAAACAACACACAUUAACCAUUAAAAAUUAUUGAUUUUGAAUCCUCUCGAUCACUAGGUAAAUGAUAUAAAAAAUUCGCAAAAUUUAUUUUCUAGAUAGUUCAAAUACUCUAGAACAAGUCUAACGAAACCAAUCUUCAAUUCGAAAGUUCUAUCAUAAAAAACGGCUUAAGAAUACAGAAGCAUCCGUACUCCUAAUAACAUGCAAGUUCUACUCUCUCUCUAUCUCUCUCUCUCUAUAUAUAACUAGGCUAGAAUACUAUUAACAGCACCAAGUCAAUGGUGUUAUUAAGUUUUUGGCCCUUGAAUAAAGCGAUGUGUGGUUAGAAUGAUAGUGGUCCCCUAGGGUUGAGUAGAUGGUUUGUUAAAUAGUAUUAUCUAAUGGGUAGAAAUGGUCAGAAGGGUAGAUCUAACGGCUGAAAACUUGAUAACACCAAGUGCUUGGUGCU
rnacentral:lncRNA from 1 species